UACGUAUGGUGCGAACGUUGUUCGGAAUCACUGGGCAUAAAGAGCACGUAGGCGGUUAAGCAAGUCCAUUGUGAAAUCCCCCGGCCUAACCGGGGAACUGCAUUGGAUACUACUUGACUUGAGUGCAGGAGGGGAGAGUGGAAUUCCAGGUGGAGCGGUGAAAAUGCGUAGAUAUCUGGAGGAACGCCGGCGGCGAAGGCGGCAUCCUGGACCGACACUGACGCUGAGGCGCGAAAGCCAGGGGAGCAAGCGGG
rnacentral:rRNA from 1 species